GAGGGACAGAGUUGAGAAGAAGAUGGAUUAAUUUGAGGGAGUAAAUUCCUUUUUGUUAAUUUUUGUUAAUGAUUUUUGUUUUCAAUUUCAUUUAAUUGGGAUUAAAUUGGUUGAAAUUAUAAUUAUGACAUCACAUUCCGAUUAAGUUAGCAGGAAUGUGACCCGGGGUUGAAAUUUAAUAAGGGAGCUUAAGUUUUGGGUUGUAAUUAACAAAAAUGAGAGUUUGAGGUUGUAACCCGUAAAAUGUUAAGUUUUUAGGGUUGUAUUUGGAAAGUUUUCCUUUUUCAAGAAAACUUCAUUUAUCUUUAGAUCAGCUUGACCUACUUCUUUUAGGAAUAAGAGUGUGAUAGUAAGCUUGAUUACUUCAUUCAUCCGUGUUUGAUGUAAUUGAGACUUGAGAGGCUAACCCUCAAGUGAGAUAGUAAAUUAAUUUCCGUCCACUGUUGUUUUAUCUGAAUUAUAUGUUGUUCAAAUGCCUUUAAUUUUAGAUAUUUUAGAUUAUCAAACAGAGGGAAUAAUUAUUUUAUUUGAGUAUUUGAUUAUCGCAGGCUGAAGCAAUUCUAUUAGCUCUAGGAGGGUAUGGGGAGAUAUGAGGUAUAUCCAGGACACAAAUAUUGAGAAUCAUUCUUAAAUAGAUAUCGCCAAAAGAGGAAAGAGUGGAACUUUGAUGAGUUAAUUAGGUUUAAUGUUUUGGAAGUAAGUGGCAGGGAAGUAUGGUUGAGUGAUAUAUUGUAGUUACACUGUAUAGGCACUUGAAUUUUUGUAAGCUGCCUAAAAUGAUUUUGGUUACACUUUGAGGGUUGCUUGAAACAAGGUUCUUGAGUCUAAUGUGACUAAUAGUACUAAGCUUACUCACUCUUGUAUUUUUUUUUCCGUAAUAGUUCUUGCUACUUUGAGUGAUGUAUAUAACUAACAAGUGAUCUCUUUAUUGAUCACAUUUCACCUCCAAAUUCUUAUUUCAGAACUCAAUAGUUGGUUUUUUUCCCGUAAUAGUUCUUGCUACUUUGAGUGAAGGCUGGCAUAAACAAGCAAUUAUCCGACUAUACAGAUAUUAGAGGGAGCGCUGGGUUCUCACUGAAGAAGGAAGAAUCUAUGCUACUGCAGGCUCUCCUGAAGUGCAAGUAUACCCGGCUAUACCACAAGAGGGUAUCUCGCCAGAUGAACUUGAGGUUGUCGGUUUCUGCUUGCUGUAGAUAUGGUUCUUUCUUCAAUUGCAUAUUAUCAGAAAAUAUUCAAAUAGCAGCUGUUUGACAGAAUCCUGAUCAUAUAGCAGGCUCAGGGUGUGCUGUGAAGAUUUGGUGGAGAUCCACAACUUAAGUCAAUGAUACACUGGGUUUCAGCAUCUCAGGCUACCUUUAAACAUAUCAAUUAUAGGUGUGGGUUUCCUGUUGCGAAAAAGACUUAUUUGAUCAACUAUACUAUCGUCUUCAUGGUGGUUCUCUCGUAUAAUGUCGUCUUCAUGGUGGUUCUCUUAUAACGGCUGCUACGUCAGGAAAACUAGAACAUUUUAAUGGCGUUUUCAUGGUGGUUCUCUCGUAUACGAUCUUCUUUCCAAACGAUCUUGGAACAUCCCAUUUUCAAAGAGUUGUACGUUGCCACAAAGUUGGGCGAGGAACUAUCGCGACUGUUCUUUAUGCUAUUAUGUCGGUCGUGUUUAAUUUCUCUAUACUUAGUCAUGUAUUUUUUUUGUGCUUAGCCAUGAUUUCUAUAUAUGUAACCUACAUCAAGUAAUUAACGGUGUUUCUUUUCAUGAUUUCAACUAUUUCUAUAGAGUAAUUAGGCUUAUGAUUUACAAAAGGUCUUG